UUCUAUCCCUCUCCCUUUCCCUCAUGUGUCGCCGCCGCCACCAUCGGCUCCCAGAUGUGGCCCUGCUCUUCCCCAUAGCCCUGACGGCAAGACGGCGACAAGGACAAGCUCCACCUCGAUGAGGUCGAUGCGCCCCCUGCCACACUUCCUUCUUCGUCGCGUCACCAUAUUUGGAGGAGAUGCGGGUUCUGCUCGCGCAUCUGCUCCUCCCGGAGUUGUCGCCUUCGGCAGGAGGGAGUGCCGGACCUCGCGCCAACUCGAGGACCGCCGCUCCGGCGGCCCGUUGUUUCUGGCCGCUGUCCGCCUCGUUGGCCCUCUUCGUGGCUUGCCCUCUGGUGCCCCAUCCAUUCGCUACCAGUCACGCACCAGGUUAAAGCGAAAAAUAUUGUUUCAGCACAGUCCAUCUGGUUUGACAUUUUGAAGGCACAAAUAGAAACAAGAAAACCAUAUAUGAUAUAUAAGAUUUCCACUGAAUUUUCUUUAGGUUGCCGGCACCUAGGAGGGACCGGACAGCAAAAUCGGUGCUCAUCAAAGAUAGCGUUGAUGCCCCUUACGGCCUUACCCGACAACACAGUUCUGCGGAAGCUUCUUCGUAUACCAAGACACUUCUCUGUGUGCGAUGGAUAUACACGCGUGGAGUGAGCUUUUCUCUGCGGCUCUGGUGACCUGCGCACAGGGUCUCCGUUCCAUGGUGUUGCCAACGAGCAAGAUGUGGAGACCUAUCAUGAGCCUCUCCUUUCACAUCAGAUUGUGUUCCAUCGAAAAAGCUUGGGUAUCCUUAUUUCAUCAAUUUUGGAUGAUUGUCAAAAUCCUAGGAUAUGAUUUAGAACCUGACAUUAUAUCUUAUUGUAUGAUACGACUGUCUAAUACUCAUAAUGUGAGGGACACAGGAAGAGUAUUGGCCACUGGCGAUGAAAGCAUGUGAGGGACACAGGGGGAGCAUUGGUCGGGGGGGAGUCAUCGAUGCAAUGUUGAUGCCAAGUGCUGAAGCACACAAAAUAUAAGGGUGUAGAUGAGGAGGCGAGGGCUGACGACAACCAUGGGAGGAGGUCGGGGUGGCUGAAGGAUAAGGCAUGGGCGGCUUCGGCAAGACGUGUCACCAGUGGAUGUCCACGAUGAGGCAAUGAGAAGACCCUCUCUUCUUGUCUUUGAUACCUGGAUCCUCGUCAUUGAUCUUGCGCACCCGGACAAAUGCACCAUGGCCUCUCAGAUCACACACAAGACUAAUCCAUGGCUGGUGCAAUACAAAGGACAUAUUCAACACAAUAGAGGAUGCCAUGAUAGACCAAUCUUGCAAUUUCACCUUCCAUUUGAUAUCUCUGCUCUAAGAUAAGAUCUAACACACAUAUGUUUGGAAAUGGAGACAAUUUCGUCAUGUUCUGUGUCUUUGUCAUCCGGCAAGUGUCUGGAUUUCUUUUAAUUUCUUGAGUAUUACUUUUCAAAGUCGAAGUGCAAUGUGAUUCCGGUGAGGAGAAACAUUCAAGCCAUUGUAACAUGUUUCGUAAGCAAGACCUUAAAUCGUGUUUCCGGAUCUGUCUCAACAAGGAUAUAAAAGAAUUACCAUCACUGUAGCUGGAUAUCAUACAGGAUAUCAUGGAUACAUACUUGCUAUGGUUUUUCCAUUAUAAGGCAGGGGAGCACGUCCAGCUGUCGUAUGAGAAGAAGGGCGCGCAGCUGAGGACCCAGGAUGCCAAUGGUGUGGAGCCGUUCGCCAUCGAGACGACCAGGGCUGCCACUAGGGACCUCCAGACCAAGCUCAACAUCUCUGCCGCCUUCGUCGAUGACGUGUCCUGAAGGGUCAUUGACUUCCGCGAUGACUCAUCUGAAUUUUCAUGUAUUUAUUAUAGUGUGCUCCAUCUGUCCCCCUACAACCCUGAUGUUGCAGGUGUUUGAUCAAUGUUUCUUGUUGUUGUGUUGUAUGUACAAGCUGUCAAGGAUGUGGCGAGUCAUUGGUGAUGUGCACCGGGUGAUGAAGCACACAUCAGAUGAGGUUGAAGGGAGGCAUGAGAGGCACGCCGGCCAACACGUGAGAUUGAACCUGAGCCAAUGACCUAUCCUCAGAGGCCUAGAGAAACUAUUUGUGAUGUAUGUUAUGAAGACCGGAUUUUGCAAGUUUAUCGAAAGAUGCAAGUUUCACCAUCCAGUUAAUUGGUCUGCACCUGAUUGCAUUGUAAAAUGGAAGGAGAGAGGUGAUAGAUACGUAGCAUUUCCAGCUGAAUACGAAGGGAAACAAGCUUGCCAUUAAUUAAUGUAAUAAUUUGACUAGGCAAUGGUUUGUGGAAGGGAUUAAGAUGAGCAGACAACAUGGCAGCUCAGAGUAACUAUCCGAGGGCGGUUGACAACCAGGCAGCACAGAGGAAUUAUCCCAUGACAACAUAUUUGAUAACAAAAAUAGUAUGACACAAAUGGAGGUGAUGACCAACCAAGGAGAGGAUGUUGAUGAGAUCAAUGACACCAGAUGGACGGACAGGCAGCUGCGAAGCAUCCGACAGAACAACCGGUGAACAAGAGGAGCAAAGGCAGCAUCUCUUGCGUCACUUUAAACAUCUGCUGGUAGCAGAGCUUCAACCGGUGAACAGGAGGAGCUUCAACUCCGUUGUCGUAAACUUCAACUGUUGGCCGAGCUUCAACCUCUAGCCCCUCAAGUGUACAGUUGGUUCUAUGCCAGCAAUUAAAGAAAGAAAAAGGGUGGAAGGGUCGCUUGUCAAGCUGGCACCGCACAAACUUCCUACCAGGAGGUGCCACCACCCCAACCCCUAGUGGAUAUCAAACGGCACAGUCACCGAAUGUUCAACGCUACGUAUCCCUCCUGCUCUAUAUGAUGGCAUUCAAUACAUGAUGCGACGCGCCCUUGUUCCACUGGUACAAGGAGCGGGAGCAGGUGAGCUCGUCCGCUACUUCGCCGCACUCGUGACUAGUGAAAUGAAACUUGCAUGGUCUCUCGAAAGGGAGUAUUUAACAAAAAACUAUCACAACUAGAUCCAGAUCGCGCCUUGUCGCGAGGGUGCCGGCCCCAAUGUUUUGGGUAAGCCCGUAAUGCACAGUGAUUUUAGGGUAAAACUGUAUAAGUAUCAUAUACAUUACAUGAAUCAUACAUAAGGCAACUUGCCACAUAAUCUCUCUAUGCUUUGUAUGGCUAAAUGAUAUCAUUCCGAUCAGCUUGAUUAAAAUGUUCCUUAAAUGAAGGAU